GACGAACGCUGGCGGCGUGCUUAACACAUGCAAGUCGAACGGAAAGGCCCUGCUUGCAGGGUACUCGAGUGGCGAACGGGUGGGUAACACGUGGGUGAUCUGCCCUGCACUUCGGGAUAAGCUUUGGAAACUGGGUCUAAUACCAGAUAGGACCGCACUUUAGUGUGUGUGGUGGAAAGUUGUUUCGGUGUAGGAUGAGCUCGCGGCCUAUCAGCUUGUUGGUGGGGUAAUGGCCUACGCAGGCGGCGGCGGGUAGCCGGCCUGGGUGGGUGUACGGCCACAUUGAGACUGAGAUUCGGCCCAGACCCCGACGGGUGGCAGAAGUGGGGAAGAUUGCACAAUGGGCGCAAGCCUGAUGCAGAGACGCCGCGUGGGGGAGGAAGGUCUUCGGGUUGUAGACGCCUUUCGCUAGGGACGAAGCUUUUUGUGACGGUACCUAGAGAAGAAGCACCGGCUAACUACGUG
rnacentral:rRNA from 1 species